AAGUGCCUGAAUGAAGAAUCUUCUCACAGAUGAUUUUCCAGUAAUCAUCAGCCAGACGUGGUGUCUUCAACAAGGGGUGUACCAAUGUAACCUCCUCCAGGAAAGGAAGGCCUCUCUGGAACCAGUCUCUCCAGAUGCCCAGAAAGGAAGGCCAGCUACUCACCCAGCUCAUUGAUACAGAGUCUCCCAAGGUGAAGUCCCAAGGAGAAGGUCCUCCUCCAAAGAAGAUCCAAGCCCAAUAUCCAAGCCAAAGAUCCCCUGAACAGUAUCUCUUCUACAUCUGAUAUUCAUAGUGCUUCAAUAUAUCCCAGGUAGGCAUAAGAAAUUAAAUGGGGAGUUCUGGGAGUUUUUUAGAAGCCAAAGAUGACACAUGAAGCUUGCAGAUGACACAGAAAAAGUUUAGAAACUCAGAAAUGCAUAAAGUAUACAUAAUG